UGGGGAAUAUUGGACAAUGGGCGAAAGCCUGAUCCAGCCAUGGCGCGUGUGUGAAGAAGGUCUUCGGAUUGUAAAGCACUUUAAGUUGGGAGGAAGGGCAUUAACCUAAUACGUUAGUGUUUUGACGUUACCGACAGAAUAAGCACCGGCUAACUCUGUGCCAGCAGCCGCGGUAAUACAGAGGGUGCAAGCGUUAAUCGGAAUUACUGGGCGUAAAGCGCGCGUAGGUGGUUUGUUAAGUUGGAUGUGAAAUCCCCGGGCUCAACCUGGGAACUGCAUUCAAAACUGACUGACUAGAGUAUGGUAGAGGGUGGUGGAAUUUCCUGUGUAGCGGUGAAAUGCGUAGAUAUAGGAAGGAACACCAGUGGCGAAGGCGACCACCUGGACUAAUACUGACACUGAGGUGCGAAAGCGUGGGGAGCAAACA
rnacentral:rRNA from 1 species